CUUGAUUAUACCUGCAAAGCCAGAGUUUCCCAAAUAAGGUCACAUUCUGAGGUCAUGGGUAGAUGUGAGUUUGAGCGGGACACUGUUCAACUCAGUACAGGGGGCAAGAAACAGGGGUUCAGGCAGGUAAUCCUUUGACACUCGACGUGACCCUGGGACCUGUGCGUGGGGACUGGAGUCAGAAACAUCCUUUUAGGGCUUCUCAUCACUCCCAUCCUUUAAUCUAAGACUUAGCAGGUGGGCCUCCCGGUGGCUCAGGUGGGUGAGGAAUGAAUCUCUUCGUUCCCUGCUGGCUAAGUCCUCAGCACGCCAGAAUGAGUUUGGAUCAUCUUAUUGAAGGCUCUUCUCUGAAACGUCUCUGGGAAGAUCAAUGACUAAUUCUCCAAUCAGAGGCCCUCAUCAGAGAACCGCAUUCGGAGCUUUCGUGACCAGAUCAGUGCCCUUCAGCUGUGAAGUGAGGGACGACGUUCCCAGGAAGCUGAUCUGUUUGGACAGAACAGAGGGGCCUGAGACUAAGCCAUCAUGAUGCUCCUUAGUGAACUCUGGGGCAGUCACCGAGCUUUCUCUGAGCAUCGGCAAAGGCAGAGGUGGAAGCGUGUUUUAGGGGCAGUGCACAGAAGAGACCCCAGUGAAAGGAGUCGGCUUCACAACCCCGCUGCUCUGCUCUCCCUAAUUAGCUGGGUGACCAUGGGCAAAUCACUUAACCUUCCCGAGACCUGGAUUCAUCAUCUGCAAAACGUGGGCAGCGACACCAGCUGCUCUCCCGGCCCCAAGUCACGGUGCUCGUGUGAGGCAAAAGGCAAAAUCAGCUGUGUUCUCUAGAAUUUUACUAUGAAGAAUACCAGCACUUCCCUGACCUGAUGAAGAAUUUACUGUUUUUCAUUCUUUUUUUCUUUACUGAUGUAAAAUAUACUUACAUAAAAUUGACCACCUUUAUUACUUGCAAGUGCACAGUUCUGUAGGAUUAAAUACACUCCCUUUGCUGUGCAACCACCACCCCCAUCAUCUCCAGAACUUCCUCAUUUUCCCAAAUGAAAACUCUUCCCAUGAGACACUGACACCUCCUCCACCCCCACCCUGCUUCUUCCUCAGCCCCUGGAGAUACUCCCUCCAUUUUCUGCCUCCAUAAAUUUGCUUACUCCAGGGGCCUCAUAGGCGUAGAAUCAUAGUCUUCGUCCUUCCGUGUCUGGCUUAUUUCACUUAGCAUAUUGUUACGGUUGAAUAUCAUUGCUUUUUGAGGCUAAAUAAUAUUCCACUGUACAGAUAGACCACAUUUU
rnacentral:lncRNA from 12 species